rnacentral:misc_RNA from 1 species
GAUGAAGAACGCAGCGAAAUGCGAUAAGUAGUGUGAAUUGCAGAAUUCAGUGAAUCAUCGAAUCUUUGAACGCACAUUGCGCCCCUUGGUAUCCCGAGGGGCAUGCCUGUUCGAGCGUCAUUUCACCACUCAAGCCUGGCUUGGUGUUGGGCGACGUCCCCUUUAGGGACGCGCCUCGAAACGCUCGGCGGCGUGGCACCGGCUUUAAGCGUAGCAGAAUCUUUCGCUUUGGAAGUCGGGGCCCCGCCUGCCGGAAUACCUACUCGUAAGGUUGACCUCGGAUCAGGCAGGGAUACCCGCUGAACUUAAGCAUAUCAAUAAGCGGAUGA